GGUGAUAUGGAAGACACCAGUGGCGAAGGCGGCUCUCUGGUCUGCAACUGACGCUGAGGCUCGAAAGCAUGGGUAGCGAACAGGAUUAGAUACCCUGGUAGUCCAUGCCGUAAACGAUGAGUGCUAAGUGUUGGGGGGUUUCCGCCCUUCAGUGCUGCAGCUAACGCAUUAAGCACUCCGCCUGGGGAGUACGACCGCAAGGUUGAAACUCAAAGGAAUUGACGGGGGCCCGCACAAGCGGUGGAGCAUGUGGUUUAAUUCGAAGCAACGCGAAGAACCUUACCAGGUCUUGACAUCCUGUGCCCCCCUUAAAAAUAAGGCUUUCCCUUCGGGGACACAAAGACAGGGGGGGCAUGGGUGUCGCCACCUCGUGUCGUGAGAUGUUGGGUUAAGUCCCCCAACGAGCGCAACCCUUGUUAUUAUUUGCCACCAUUUAGUUGGGCACUCUAUAGAGACUGCCGGUGACAAACCGGAGGAAGGGGGGGAUGACAUCAAAUCAUCAUGCCCCUUAUGCUGGGGGGCAAAAAGGU
rnacentral:rRNA from 1 species